GGGAGAGAGCGCCGGGAUCCGGACGGGGAGCAACCGGGGCAGGCCGUGCCGGCUGAGGAGGUCCUGAGGCUACAGAGCUGCCGCGGCUGGCACACGAGCGCCUCGGCACUAACCGAGUGUUCGCGGGGGCUGUGAGGGGAGGGCCCCGGGCGCCAUUGCUGGCGGUGGGAGCGCCGCCCGGUCUCAGCCCGCCCUCGGCUGCUCUCCUCCUCCGGCUGGGAGGGGCCGUAGCUCGGGGCCGUCGCCAGCCCCGGCCCGGGCUCGAGAAUCAAGGGCCUCGGCCGCCGUCCCGCAGCUCAGUCCAUCGCCCUUGCCGGGCAGCCCGGGCAGAGACCAUGUUUGACAAGACGCGGCUGCCGUACGUGGCCCUCGAUGUGCUCUGCGUGUUGCUGGAUCUCUGAAGAUUCAGUAGGGAACAGCAAUAGGAGUGAAACAUCCACAUCUGAUAACACAGAAACUUACCAAGAGAAUACAAGUUCUUCUGG
rnacentral:lncRNA from 1 species